GUCCCGAUGUCCAAUUAGUCUAGAUUUUCAAAUUUUUUGCCCUAUUGUACAACUACUUGAUAAAUUUGGCUAAAUGACACAUUUUUUAAGUUUGGAUGCUCGCGUGAGACUUAAAUGCUAAGUAAAAAAAUAAAAAUAAAUUUAUGAAAAAAAAAGAAACAAAUUUAAGGAAAGAGGGGUUACCGUUACUUUGUCUACAAAAUCUUUAAUUUUUUUAAAAUUUCCAAAUUAGAGACCUAGCUUUUUAACCUAAAUUUUUUAGUUUAAAUUACCGAACGAAAUGUUGUGGUCAAGUGCAUCUUCAUCCAACGCGUCACAUAGACAGAGAAAGAAUGAGUUUCCACUUGUUGAAGACAGAGAUGAACCAGUUCUUAUAAUGUGUAGAUGUGCUAAAGAAGUGCGAAGGAGGACAUCAUGGAUGGUUGAGAAUCCUGGCAUCAAACUGUGAUCACUUUGUUUGGUAUGAUGUUGAAUUUUCGAAGAGGACUAAGGAGGUGAUUCAAGACUUUAUAGAUGAGGUUGACAGAUUGAAGGAUAUUAAUGCAGAAAUGGGUGGUGGGGAAAGAAGAGCCUUGUAUGCUGAAUCCUAUAGGAUGCAAAUUAGGUUGGAGAUGGAAGUUAAGAAAUUAAAGAUGAAAGCUAACAAUUUGAAAAAGAAAAAAGAAGGUUAUUUGAAGACUACCACAACUUGCAAGAAAUUGGUCAUUAUGUCAUAGUUGUUGAUGUUAGUCUUGUUUGGUUGUUUUUGUUAUAUUAGAAUAGGAUGUUCAUGUUAGCCUUGUUUAUGUUGGAUGUUCGUUGUCAUGGUUGUAUUAUAGUUCUUUUGUUGGUAGCUUGGAGGAUUAGAAACAUGACUAUUGCUUUCCAAUUGGUUGUUUUUGCAUUAAUUAUUACUUCACCAAUCUUAUUGAUUAGUGUACCCGUUGUUUUUUCUUCUCCUGAUGGUUGGUCGAGUAAGGCAGGUUACAUUUGUAUUUCUUUGAAAGAAAUAAAAAUUCAACUUCACUUA